AUUACUUUGGCAGAUUAGUGUGAUGAAUUUAGAAUUCAUUAAUGUAGAUAUUUUACAAGUAAUA
rnacentral:tRNA from 1 species